UACGUAGGGCGCAAGCGUUGUCCGGAAUUAUUGGGCGUAAAGAGCUCGUAGGCGGUUUGUCGCGUCCGCUGUGAAAGCCCGGGGCUUAACCCCGGGUCUGCAGUGGAUACGGGCAGGCUAGAGGUAGGUAGGGGAGAAUGGAAUUCCCGGUGUAGCGGUGAAAUGCGCAGAUAUCGGGAGGAACACCGGUGGCGAAGGCGGUUCUCUGGGCCUUACCUGACGCUGAGGAGCGAAAGCGUGGGGAGCGAACAGG
rnacentral:rRNA from 1 species